rnacentral:rRNA from 1 species
AUUACGGGAGGCAGCAGCGGGGAAUAUUGGACAAUGGGCCACAAGCCUGAUCCAGCAAUUCUGUGUGCACGAUGAAGGUCUUCGGAUUGUAAAGUGCUUUCAGUUGGGAAGAAGAAAGUGACGGUACCAACAGAAGAAGCGACGGCUAAAUACGUGCCAGCAGCCGCGGUAAUAAU